ACGCCAGACAGAGAACUAGGCGGAAAAAUGGAAUUAGCCUGCAUUAGCCUGAACAGGGAGGAGUAUACUAACAGGACAGGAGAGUUAGAGCAUCCUAGGAAAGGCCAUAAUCCUGUAGUGGACUGUUGAUGGUUAACCUGUCCGCUGCGAUUGUCAGGGAUUUGUCCUUUGCUGGUAACCUGGUAACAUACACUCCCAGGUCUUUCUCUGCCUCUGUGGUGGAUAGUGGAGUGUUUCCCAUGUGGUAUUGGUGUGCUGGAUAUCCUCUCCCAAGGUGCAGGACUUUACAUUUUUCUUCAUUGAAUUAUAGCAGACACUUUGUUCCACUCCUGUAGCUUGGUGAGGUCUUCUGGUAGGAAAUCCACAGUCAAGGGUUAAACAUAGUAAUGUAAUGCCAUUUUCUUGCAUGGGAUGUGCAUUAAUACUGUGUAACCCUAAUGUGAAAUUUGUCAUGUGUGAGAGGAAUGAAAAGUCAUGUUUGGUUGUUGUUCAGCAGUACAGUGAUCAGGAUCCUCAAGCAGACCAAGCACUGGGGUUUGGGAGUGUAUUUUUUCUUUUUACAAUGCUUUGCCGAACUGAAGGGCUUGCUCAACAGUUAUUUAGCAAGACUGAAUUAGUUUCCAUUCUUGUCUCCAGUAUACUGAUGGACACAAAGAGGUGAAGCUUGUGGUUGUUGCAGCAUCUUUUUUCUUCUUUCUACAAACACUGUUUUUCAACUUUCUUCUGCAGAGCCCAUCCAGCGCUGGGCCCGGCCACUGCAAGCCUUGUUGGGUCAAUGUGUGGGAAAUCAGCCAAGGUGGAGUUUGAGUCGGUCGGCCUCAACCAUGAGGGCUGUGUGAGCGGCAGGCUGGCCGUGAGCCUUCCUGGGAGUGCUGGGCGGCCUGGUGCCCCGGCUGAAGGCAAGCGGCCUCCCUGAGACACCCAAAGACUGGCUGACACAAGAUCUUGUGCUGGUACUGGUGUCUGAAGGCUGUGCAGUGGUGCGGACACAGGCUCAGAGUGCCCAGGUGGACCAAGAUGCUGGUUGCCGCCUGCCUGGGAGCAGACUCACAGAGGUCAGCGCGGGGCAGCAGGACAGCGCCCUCAGCAGUGACGAUGAGUCUCUCCAUGAAGGCUGCACAGCAGCAGGCCACCGUCGCCCGAGAGCAUCCCGAGGAACACUUCAAUGUCCAGGUGUGAGGAUGUCAAGCCACCACAAGCCAGGAGGAAGUGGCUGCUGGGGCCAAGACAGCAGGUGAAGCAGAACCCUUAAGCCUCAGGUCUUCACCCCUGGACGAAGGAGGUGUUUCUUGGCGGCCAAACUCGGAGACUCACCAGAAAAGACCUUGGUAGAUGAUGCAAGUUUUGCUCGCUGGAGACCACAAGAGUAUUCACCCGUGCCUCAUAUUGUGGGUGAGGAGAGCAGCCUGCACCAUCUCCCAAGAGGUAUGUUUAACAGUGAGGCAUGCACACAGGCAGGAAGCAGCACUACAGUCACCAGGAGACAUUUUACAUAAAACUGGCUACAAAAUACUGCUGCUGGCCAGAAUGGAGAUCAGGUUCAGCAGGAUCCCAGCAAGGUGCUCUCUUUACUUCUUUGUGUGAUUUUGAAAACACUUCAGCAGCCAAGGGGAACGCUCAAGAGAAAGUGUCAUAUCUAUGCAAACCUUCCUGCAGGGGUGAGCUGAAAGGUGAAAAAUGUAGUUACCACGACUCCUUGGAGAAGAGAGACACCAUUAGUAGUUUGGUUGGUGAGAAAAGCUUCACCAGUCAUGCUGCUUGUACAGGGGAGAAGACUUCAGUGUUGUCCUCCAGGCCUCUUUGCAGCGGGUACUCUAGAUCAAGCAGCAGACCAAGUGUCUUGCAUGUGUGUGUGUGUGUGUGUGUGUGUGUGUGUGUGUGUGUGUGUGUGUGUGUGUGUGUGUGUGUGUGUGUGUGUGUGUGUGUGUGUGUGUGUGUGUGUGUGUGUGUGUGUGUGUAUUUACCUAGUUGUGAAAUACCGUACUAGGCUCGUGCUGUCCCAUCUCCAUAAUGCUUAUUAUCCAGUUUGUCUUUAAAUUAAUGAAUCGUUUAUGCACACACAGUCUCCUUGUCAGUCCGUUUCAUGUUGUUAUACUUCUGUAUGGAAAACUGUAUUUCUUGUCAUUUCUUAUCACUGCCUCUUGUCACACUUCUGUCACGUACCACUAGGUCUUCCCUGUCCAAUUUCUCCAAUCCCUCUUGUAUCCUGUACAAUGCUAUUAGGUCCCCUCUCUCUCUUCUUCUCUCUAGUUUUGUUAGUCCCAAUUUCUCCAGUCUUUCUUCAUAGGUAUGUUCUCUCAGAGUUUCCGGUAAUUUAGUCGCUGCUCUUUGUACUCUUUCCAACUUUCUAAUUUCUGUCUUCAACAUAGGUGACCACACUAAUGCUGCAUAUUCCAGUCUUGGACGUAUCAUCGAUGUUAUUAGUUUCUUUACCAUUUCUUCAUCUAAAUAUAUUAAUGCUGCUUUUAUGUUUCUAAGAGGAUUGUAUGUUUCCCCAGUUAUCCGGUCUAUAUGUUUUCCAAAGGAUAACUUGUCUGUUAUGAUCACUCCCAAAUCUUUUUCUUCAGUUUUUUUUCAUGAUUCUUUCAUUACUCAGAGAGUAGUUCCCCGAUAUUCAUCUACUGCUCUUACCAAACUCCAUUACGCUACACUUCUCAGUAUUGAAUGUCAUUUCCCAUUUGCAUGACCAUUCGCUUAUUAUAUCAAGAUCUUGGCUCAGGGCUACACAGUCUUCUUCAUUAUUUCAGCAUCAUCAGCAAACAUAAUAUUCAUAUAGCUUGUCGCCCCUUCUGUUAUGUCAUUAAUAUAUAUUACAAACAUAAUCGGAGCCAACACCGAUCCUUGGGGGACUCCACUGGUCACUUCCAUCCAGCUUGAUUUAUUAUUCCUAAUUACUGUUCUCAUUUCUCUCUUCGUCAAAAAGUCCACAAUCCAAUCCAAUAUUGAACCACCCAGACCUCCAACAUGAUUAAGUUUCCAUAUUAAUCGCUUGUGUGGUACUUUAUCACAUGCCUUCUUUAAGUCCAGAUACACACAAUCUGCCCAACCGUCCCUUUCCUGUAUUAUAUCAAUUAGGGUAGGAGCGUUAGUAUCCAAUCAGGAAGUGCCAUGUAUUUCUUUUGAUCACAGAUUUAAACUCAAACUUAGUACAAAACUGAUUUUGUUUACCUCUCAAAUCCUUCAGUAGUCAUUAAUGUUUAUAUUAAGACCAAUGCCAAAUUUCUGUGGAACAUAAUUUUACAUACAUGCAUACAUUUGCUACGUGAUUGGAGAUAAUGGUAUUACUGCUAAGUCCAAUCACUUGCCAGCUAAUUCCAAUCACUUGCCAUUAAAAAUCCAAACAUAUAAAUUGAGUCAUCAAAAUAAAAUGCAGUUUAUUUCAAAUUUAUAUUUAUCUUUUGCCCUUAGGGGCCUAGUGACGAAAUACAUCAAAAAAAAAUUUUCUGGGAGAAAUAAAACACAUGAUGAAUGAGAAUGCAAAUAAUGUUUUAAUAUGCUUGCAAUGAUGAUAAUACAUAAUAUGGCUAAACCAAACAUAAUUUCUGGAAGUUAAAAUGAAAGUAAAAUUCCUAUUGAACAUCACUGAAGCAUGAAAUUAUAUUAUUCCAAGACAACUCUUCCCAGCUGCUACUACUCCAUUUUCAACCUUAAUUGUAGCAGUUCUACCCUGAAUCACAUCCGUUACACAUUUAUUUUGAAUAACACAAACUUCAUCUGGUGUCACUGGGAAAGAAAAAUCGUCAGAACUGCCCCAAACAAAGUGAUCCUUCUUAGCUUCCAAUUCCUUAAGAAAGUGUACCUCAAGGCCCUCUUCUGCUACUUUUUCUAUUCUACCAAGACAAGCUUUAUGUGUAACAGUCUUUCUACCUUUGAAAGUAGAAUGAAUGACAGGUAACUUAACCAUAACCCACGAUCCUUGCUCAGGUUGCUGUUGAAGAUCUAUGAACUGCAGUGCAUUUUCAGUGGCAAUAGUUUCUAAACCAAUUGAGUCAUCAUCACUGUCUUCCAACGGUACCAUGCUGGCUUCUAGCGAUUCAUCACUGGAAGAAUCUUCAUUUUCCUCAGUUAGAGUGUUCACUGAUGUUGAAGCAGUCACUGGUUCAGAUGUCUGAGCAGACUUGCCUUUCUUGGGUAGUUUUGAAUCCUUACUGCGUUUCUUGAGCUCUAAAGCUUGUUUAGCAUUGCGUUCCUUUUCAAGUAACUGUACUGCAGCUGAUGAAGAAAGAGCAAAGGUCUUGUCUCUAACGUUUUUUUUGUACUUAGGACCUUGUGUUUUACGUGGUGAUGGGAACCACUUGUAGCCCUUAAAUGCAGCGCUGAUAGUUGAUCCUUGUUUGGGCUUGUUCUUCAUGUUUGGUGAUAGGAAUGUCUCUUUUGAUGGGAGUCUGAAGUUAACUUCAGCUUUUUUUUGUAAGAGAAACCUUUUUACUUUAUCAGUCAGGGCCAAAUCACAUGCUGUUGCUCUGCAGU